UUGAGAGAUCAGUCGGACACGAUUGGCAGGGAGUGCACGUGUGUUUUUAUGAGAAUUAUGCCGAGAUAGGUAACAGAUGAGGAAGAAAUUUGGGCUUGAUUGAAGUAAUGUCAUCACUUAAGGCAAGGACCGGCCACUUACACUUCUUUUGUGGUGGAAUGUCAUCAGUUCAGGUGGGGCAGGGCAUAUUCACUUCUUUUGAGAUAUUU
rnacentral:lncRNA from 1 species